rnacentral:rRNA from 1 species
UACGGGGGGGGGCAAGCGUUGUUCGGAAUUACUGGGCGUAAAGGGCUCGUAGGCGGCCAACUAAGUCGGACGUGAAAUCCCUCGGCUUAACCGGGGAACUGCGUCCGAUACUGGAUGGCUUGAGUUUGGGAGAGGGAUGCGGAAUUCCAGGUGUAGCGAUGAAAUGCGUAGAUAUCUGGAGGAACACCGGUGGCGAAGGCGGCAUCCUGGACCAACACUGACGCUGAUGAGCGAAAGCCAGGGGAGCAAACGGG